GAGUUUGUUGGUCCUAGUAGAUCG
rnacentral:siRNA from 1 species